CUCAGAUUGAACGCUAGCGGGAUGCUUUACACAUGCAAGUCGAACGGCAGCGCGGACUUCGGUCUGGCGGCGAGUGGCGAACGGGUGAGUAAUGUAUCGGAACGUACCCAGUAGCGGGGGAUAACUACUCGAAAGAGUGGCUAAUACCGCAUACGCCCUACGGGGGAAAGGGGGGGAUCGCAAGACCUCUCACUAUUGGAGCGGCCGAUAUCGGAUUAGCUGGUUGGUGGGGUAAAGGCCUACCAAGGCGACGAUCCGUAGCUGGUUUGAGAGGACGACCAGCCACACUGGGACUGAGACACGGCCCAGACUCCUACGGGAGGCAGCAGUGGGGAAUUUUGGACAAUGGGGGCAACCCUGAUCCAGCCAUCCCGCGUGUGCGACGAAGGCCUUCGGGUUGUAAAGCACUUUUGGCAGGAAAGAAAUUGCCUGGGUUAACACCCUGGGUAGAUGACGGUACCUGCAGAAUAAGCACCGGCUAACUACGUGCCAGCAGCCGCGGUAAUACGUAGGGUGCAAGCGUUAAUCGGAAUUACUGGGCGUAAAGCGUGCGCAGGCGGUUCGGAAAGAAAGAUGUGAAAUCCCAGGGCUUAACCUUGGAACUGCAUUUUUAACUACCGGGCUAGAGUGCGUCAGAGGGGGGUGGAAUUCCGCGUGUAGCAGUGAAAUGCGUAGAUAUGCGGAGGAAC
rnacentral:rRNA from 1 species